rnacentral:tRNA from 1 species
GUUGUCGUGGCCGACUGGUUAAAGCGAUAGACUAGAAAUCUUUUGGGAUCUUCACGCGCAGGUUUGAACCCUGCCGACAAAG